UCCAAAAACAAGCCUAAUAACUUCGUUUAACAAACUAAUGAAAUAUCCGUUAAAGGAAGGUGUCAAGCUUUCAAUCCGGUGACAUAGCCCUAAAUCGGCAAUGUGAAUUUCCUUCCACUAGCUAGUCCGGCGGUCUCGGAGGGGGGCGACAGCAAUCCGGCGAUAAAUUCCAAGCCUGCAAAAUAGAUUUGGAGGUAUCACAAUCCUUGAGGCAGCGCAGUUGGAGAAGGUUUGUGAUUGUAUUGCACACUUUGGCCAACACCAAUCUCUGCGAAGCUGCUUUCUCUUUGAAAACUCGGUUAUUGCGUUCUUCCCAGAUAUGAUAAACCAUAGUUGAAAGACAGAUCUUCCGAAGCAUGUUGGUCGGAGAGCUUCCCCUCCAUCUUUGACUAAUCCACAUAAUCAUAUCCUCCUAAGAGUAGAAUGGUUUGUAAAAUUUACAUCUAUCUUGUAUGAAUUUCCACAGUGGAGAGGAGAAGACGCAUCUGAAAAAGAGGUGGGAGUGGGAUUCAGGUUCAUUCUUGCAUAGUGCGCAUAUGUUCUCAUGAUGAGACAUUGCUAUGUUUUCAAGGGUUGGUAGUCUGCUUUGUACGGCCAUCCACAUGCUGAAUUUCAUCCUUGGGAUUGUGGGAGAGCACCAUACGAGGUUGAACCAAGCAAUUUGAUCCCCAUUGUCUGCGAGAUGGAGAAUGGUGUGUUUGAGGCUGAAUGGGACUGAGCAAGGUUGAGGGAGAGCAAGAAGUUCUGGGAUUGCAUUGGAAAGAGAUGGGGGGAAUGCCCAUGAAUUGUUGACUAUGAAUUUACCCACGAGUAAAUUAUCUUUAGUUCCCAAGUUUGAGAGGAGGAUGGAUGGAAAUCGAAGACUGAGAGUCCCUGCUGGAGUCCAAUUGUCUAACCAGAAGUUGGUAUCCAUACCAUUGCCAAUGACAUGCUUGAUGAUAAGCCUGGCUGGAUGUCUCUAUUGAAGGAUUUUACGCCAGCUCCACGAACAAGGCUGUGGGAAUUUCAAGCUCUAGAGGCUCCUUCUGUAUGUAUACUUACACAAGUGUUUAUUAUAAUGAACCAAUAGUAAUUUCUAAACAAUUAAUUUUUUUACAAUACCUAUUAAGAUAAGACUAUGUAAAUGUUUCACAUAAUUUUCUUUUCCAUGAAGAGUAUUAGUUUACCGUUACAUUCAAUUAUGGAGAUUUAGAUGACUUUACCCUUUCCUCAUCACAGAAUGGUGCUAAAUUAAAGCUCCUUUAUGACCCUUGGUGUGAAGGGUUUACUUAGAUAUUACUAGACUAGUUCGCAAGGACCGCAAUAGUGAUAAAUUAGGCUAUGUUUGGUGCAGUAGAAAAGAAAAGAAGGAUGACAUUAGUUACGAGAGAAAAUUAAAAUAAAAUAAAAAUGAAAGAAGAGGAUAGUGUUAUUUGUUAACCACUUAUGGUGUUCGGUUGAUUAAUGAAUGAAAAGAAAAAGAAAUGAUUGUAAUCAUGUAUGGGAAGAAAGGAAAUGAAACUAUUUCAAUGAAUUAACUACCACACCUUUUUUCAUGGAUUUUGUCUUUUAUUACGUAUAAGAAUAAGGACAAAUUUGACAUUAACAAAGUUUCAUUAAAAAUACUAACCUUUCGUUUUAUUUCUUCCCAAAAAUGGGAGGAUAACAAAACUAACUUAUCAAACUUUAAUGUAUCCCUCCAAAUCUUUUCAUUCUCUUUCUUUUUCUUCCAAAAUUUUAUACCCACCAAAAAAAAAAAAAAAUCCCUCCAUUCCAUUUCAUUUCAUUUCUUUUCCUUCCAUUUCAAACCAAACUGCCCUUAAAGACUUGGAACCAAAAGGUUGGCUGCGAAGCUCUCUCAUAUAGAAACUAAGUAUAGUGUGAAAAUCCAUCAUUUUUAGUCAUGCUUGAUGCUCCAAUAAACAUUAAUUCUUGUCACCCAUAUCACACACUCUUUCUCAUGUAGCAACUAGAUAUAGGAUGUAAUAAUGUGAAAAAAUAUAAUAUCAAGUGUUUUGUUUGAGAUUAUAGUUUAGAUAGGGAGGAAUGUAAACAAUGGUUACCAAUCCUCUAGUCUGUCUAAAUUUGAAGUCUAUUUAUUCUCAAUUUUUUAGAUUGUUAAGGUUGUGGAGCCUGAAUCACAAGCUUAAUUUAUAUUGUUGCUACGCAGACCCCAAUCAGGGGUCGAGCUCAAGCGGCUUGUGUUGGUUCGAUCAUAGUAAGUAGUGUUGGCCACAAUCGAAGCUUGAUCGACCGCAACUGAGUAAAUUUUUAGAUCAAAAUCAGGGAGUUUUUGGAUCGAUUGCAGGUCACAUAGAAUUUGAUCACGUACACGUCAUUAAGAAACUUGGAAAAAAUUUCCUUAUUGGAGCUUUCCUAACCCAAUAGUGAUUCCAUAUAAAUACUAGGUAUUGUAUCAACCCUAGAUAAAUGGUAGCGUUCAAGACGGUCAAAAGCAAGAAAGAAAGCAUAGAGAGCUCUACAUUGUAAAUACCAUUCAUUGUUCAUAUUAUAACAUUUUAGGUUAAAUUCAUUUAGACCCCUUGCGGUUUGUCAAUAGUUCAAAAUUAAAGACCCCCCUCCCCCACCACACACACACACACACACACACAUUUGCAUAAAUUCAAUCAAACCUAGGUCUCAUCGAGCCUCGACAGUUGUAUUAAGGCGCCUUACUUUUUUUACACACAUCAGUUUCCCCCUUCCUGUCACUGUCAAAGAUGGUCAGAGAUGGUUUUUGCUGACAUUAUCAAAAAAUUAUUUCAUAAUACCUAGAAUGCCCCUUAUACUUGUGUAGUUAUUUUCAUCUAUCUCAUAAAUUAAGUAUUUGUAAUACCCCAUAUUCUUAAUGAAUUUAUAAAUGGGAUUAUUAAUAUUUUAUAUAUUUUAAAUUGGAUUUAAAUUAUAUAAUUAUGUGGUUGUUUUGUUUGGACUGUGUUUUAUUUGGGCUUAUUCAUGGGGAAUAUAUAGACUAGCCUUGAACUCGAUGUGGACUUAUUUUGAUGGUUUACUACUAUGUUAGUUAAAGGGAUGAUACAGACUAGCGAGAGAGAUAGAUAGAAAGAGAAGAGAAACAGAAUCCUAGAUUUUAUACGUUCUGGUUUGUAGAGGUGGUUCAUGGAGGAGAAACCGAAAGAGGCCUGUAACCCUAGGCUGGAGGCUUGAGGAUUCGUGGUGCUGCCCUAAACUCGCAAGACAAGUACCUUUCUUCUUUUCCCCUUUGGACCUAUAAGCGUUUCAGCUCUGUGAAACAAUAUAUAUAUAUAUACACACACACACACACUUCUAUGCACUGAUAUAAACUAUGAUUCGAUUCUGAAACUUAGAAAUCAAACCUGAUCACGCUUUGUUAUUCUGAACUGCAUGAAAUAAUAAUAAUUCGAUUAGUAAUAUUUUGGUUACCAUGUUUCUAAUAUUGAUAAUCUGCUUUGAAACUGUUUUAUAUGUUUGUAUCGCUAGUUUGCAUACUUUAAUUCAUUUAUGCAUAUUAGAGGAGGGAUGUUUCCAGUUUUACGUGUAUUUGUAGCAAUGCAUCAUUUUUUUGUUAUUUUCGGGAGUUUUUGGAAUUGUUAAGUAAUGGGUAGAAUCGUGUUUUAUAAAAAUGAUCACUGAAUUUUGGAACUGAUUUCGCAUUCUAAAAUUCGAUAGAAUUCUUAGAACGUUGAGAUUUGACAUAACAAUUAUUGGGUGUUUUCUAGUCUUUGGGGCGCCGCCCCCCGGACCCCAGGCUUGACCUUUCUAAUUAUUCGCGAGAACCUUAGUGCUGCACCGAAAUCAAUAACAGGAGUGGUUUAUUUAAUUUCAUGUUAUUUGUGCUUUAAAUGAUAACUAUGAUAUUAUGAAUGUGGAAUGUGGAAUGUGUUAUGGAAUCAUUGUGUACUGACUAUUAAUGCAGUCUCACAAAUACCUAUUGGUAUGGUUGAUUUGCUAAGGCAUGGUUGAAUUGUUGGGAACGUGAUUUGGUUGCAAACAUGGUUGAGUUGCUUAUUUUCUUAUGCAUGUAUUUGCUGAUCACGUAUUUAUAGGUUCCAGACAGUUUCAGCCAUAGAGUUGAAGCUCCAGCUUUCCAUAACUUCUUGUGGUAAUUCACUCUUUUCAGUUUAUUUCAUAAUAGGGUUUUAUUAUUACUCUUUCUAGACUUCUAUGAAUUAUGAAUAAUAUUUUUUUGAUUUUGGAUUUAGGGGUCCCUGAUUUACGGGAUUCCGAGUUGUAAUAAAUGGGAUUUAUGGAUCGCAUUUUUUUUUUUUUUUCCUAAAUGAUUUAUGGAUCGGAUUUAAAGAUUUAUUUAUUGGCAGUUAUUUCUCCCA